rnacentral:rRNA from 1 species
CCUACGGGAGGCAGCAGUGGGGAAUAUUGGACAAUGGGGGAGACCCUGAUCCAGCGACGCAGCGUGAGUGAAGAAGUCCCUCGGUAUGUAAAGCUCUAUCAGUAAGGAAGAAAAUGACGGUACCUGAUUAAGAAGCCCCGGAGAACUCCGUGCCGGCAGCCGCGGUAAGACGUAGGGGGCAAGCGUUAUCCGGAUUUACUGGGUGUAAAGGGAGCGUAGACGGGAGCACAAGUCUGGAGUGAAAUGGUGGGGCUUAACCCCGGAACUUCUUUGGAUACUGUACAUCUUGAGUGCAGUAGAGGUAAGUGGAAUUCCUGGUGUAGCGGUGAAAUGCGUAGAUAUUAGGAAGAACACCAAUUGCGAAGGCAGCUUACUGGACUGUAACUGACGUUGAGGCUCGAAAGCGUGGGGAGCAAACAGGAUUAGAUACCCGGGUAGUC